rnacentral:tRNA from 1 species
GGGAGCGGAUCGGUGCUGGUGUGCCGCACGGACUUCAAAUCCGUUGUGGGGCCCUACAAAGGUCCUAGGUGGGUUCAAUUCCCAUGCGCUCCCGCCA